UAUCCCCUUGCUCAAAGUUAUAAAAUGUAUCUAGAAGUGGGAAUCUGCGUGUCUCACUAUUCCUCAAUUCAUCUAAUAUUGGGUAAUAAUGAAGGCACUGUGAAGGUCGUUAUCACUGCAGCAGUGGGAAGACUUUUUUGUGGAGCCUUGGAAGAUUGGGAAUAACUCGCUGAAUUUUCAAUAUUUUGGUCCAAAAAUUUUAUCAUGUAUGUAUUUAUUGUAAAUCCACAAAUAUAUCCUUAAAACAUUU
rnacentral:lncRNA from 1 species